rnacentral:lncRNA from 1 species
UUCUGGUUGGCCGGCGGCAAGAUUCGGUGCUCCGAUGACUAAUUGCGCAUACGCAGCGAGCGCGUACGUACUACGCGAACGGACGCCGCGCCGGAGAAAAAAAUUAAGUGCUCACGAAACCAAACGGUGACAUCCAGGCACUCCCCGGAUGGCGGCGACGACGGCCGCGCGCGCGGACGACGGCGCGCCGUCCGCGCCGUCCGCGAGCGCGAAGCGCAUCGUGGAGAUGAAGCAGGCGCUCGUGGAGCACGUCAAGGCGGGGCGAUACGAAGACGCGCUCGCGACGUGCGACGAACGUGCGUCGACGUCUCGCAGUCUCCCAGAGGCAGUCCGUCGUCCUUCCCCGCGCCCUUCCCUCCGCUCGCGCUGAUGACACCCCGCGCGCCUCUCUCUCUCUCUCUCUCUUCGCAGUCGCGGCGCUGGCGCCGAACGACGCGAUCGUCGCGCAGUAUGCGCAGGUGUUGCGUCAGAAGAUCGAGCUCGACGACGACGAGAGCGACGACGACGACGACGAGGAGGGAGACGCGACAUCGUCGUCGUCAUCAGACGACGACGCGUCGGGCGACUCCUCCUCCGAAGCGAGCGACGCGACGUCGUGAAGGAAGCAGGGGACGACUCGAUUCGACCUAUCACGUUGUUGUUGUUUAUAAUAAAUACGCUGUUGUACUCUCUGUCGUAUCAGCCGCGAACGAACGCGAAGGGCCCGCCUCUUCUACCGCCUGAACGCGAACGGCGCGAGCGCCCUCCGCUUCGGCGGCUCGCGCGUCUUUUUCCCCCGCGGCGCCAUCUCCUCCCCGCCGAUGACGGCGACGCUCCCUCUGCCAACCUCAGUCUUCUCAGAAGACUCCCGCCCCCCGCGUGUCGCCUCCAGCCCCUUCCUCUUCUCCUCCGCCCAGAGCUGAUCGCGCCGCUCGCGGUCCACCCUCUGCUGCGCGUCGAGGCCAAACUUUUGCUCCC